rnacentral:rRNA from 1 species
AACGUAGGUUCCGAGCGUUAUCCGGAUUUACUGGGCGUAAAGCGUGUUCAGGCGGCUCGGCAAGUCGGGCGUGAAAUCUCUCGGCUCAACCGGGAGGGGUUGUCCGAUACUGUCGGGCUUGAGGGCAGUAGAGGGUGGUGGAAUUCCGGGUGUAGUGGUGAAAUGCGUAGAUAUCGGGAGGAACAUCAGUGGCGAAGGCGGCCAUCUGGGACAACACUGACGCUGAAGCACGAAAGCGUGGGGAGCAAACAGG